GACGAACGCUGGCGGCGUGCUUAACACAUGCAAGUCGAACGGAAAGGCCCUGCUUUUGUGGGGUGCUCGAGUGGCGAACGGGUGAGUAACACGUGAGUAACCUGCCCUUGACUUUGGGAUAACUUCAGGAAACUGGGGCUAAUACCGGAUAGGAGCUCCUGCUGCAUGGUGGGGGUUGGAAAGUUUCGGCGGUUGGGGAUGGACUCGCGGCUUAUCAGCUUGUUGGUGGGGUAGUGGCUUACCAAGGCUUUGACGGGUAGCCGGCCUGAGAGGGUGACCGGCCACAUUGGGACUGCGAUACGGCCCAGACUCCUACGGGAGGCAGCAGUGGGGAAUAUUGCACAAUGGGCGGACGCCUGAUGCAGCAACGCCGCGUGCGGGAUGACGGCCUUCGGGUUGUAAACCGCUUUCGCCUGUGACGAAGCGUGAGUGACGGUAAUGGGUAAAGAAGCACCGGCUAACUACGUG
rnacentral:rRNA from 1 species